rnacentral:rRNA from 1 species
AACGAACGCUGGCGGCAGGCUUAACACAUGCAAGUCGAACGCACCGCAAGGUGAGUGGCAGACGGGUGAGUAACACGUGGGGAUCUGCCCAAUGGUACGGAAUAGCUCCGGGAAACUGGAAUUAAUACCGUAUGAGCCCGCAAGGGGAAAGAUUUAUCGCCAUUGGAUGAACCCGCGUCGGAUUAUGUAGUUGGUGUGGUAAAGGCGCACCAAGGCGACGAUCCGUAACUGGUCUGAGAGGAUGAUCAGCCACACUGGGACUGAGACACGGCCCAGACUCCUACGGGAGGCAGCAGUGGGGAAUAUUGGACAAUGGGCGCAAGCCUGAUCCAGCCAUGCCGCGUGAGUGAUGAAGGCCUUAGGGUUGUAAAGCUCUUUCGCCGACGAAGAUAAUGACGGUAGUCGGAGAAGAAGCCCCGGCUAACUUCGUGCCAGCCGCCGCCGUAACAC